rnacentral:ncRNA from 1 species
AAGUUGAUAUCGGGAGAGACUGCCUGGCCAAGCGCCGGGCGGCGCCGAAGGAGCAACCGCCCCGGAAACUCUCAGGCAAAAGGACCGGUAUCACGUU